UACGCCUUUGUAUGGUGGCGGUAGUGGAAACACCCGCACGGUUACUACAACGACCGAGGACACCUAACCGAGGGCUUUUU
rnacentral:sRNA from 12 species